AUUAAAAACCCACUUCAGGCAUCAUCAGCAUGGAGUUCUCAAGUUCAUGUGGCUCCUCACAGUGAACCAGGUCUUAAGGAAAAUGCAGAGGUGCCACAGCAGGAACACGGACAGCGGUCCACCUGAGAGAGAUCGCAGCCAAGCACUCAGCUCCCCGUUCUCAACAGCCCUACAGCAGCCUCAUGCUCCUGAAGCCCAACCUGGAGACACUGGACGACUUCUUCGACCUGCUGUGGAUUGUGGGCGUCGCUGACUUUGUGCUCGAAUAGGUCACCCUCGCCCUGGAGUGCCUCACCGUGGCCCUGCCCACCACCAUCCUGGCCUCGAGUCCAAGGGAAGACCGUCUAAUGACACGGGGAGAAGGCAGGCAUCUGCAAGCCAAGGAGAGAGGCCUCGAAAGAAACCAACCUUGAGGACACCUCCAUCUCAGGCUCCCGGCCUCCAGAACUGGGAGGAAAUACAUGUCUGUCGUUGAGCCCUCCAGUCUGUGGCACUUUGUGAUGGCAGCCCUAGAAGACUAAUACAUCCACACACCAGUUUCCCCACACUUCUGUCCUUUUAAACUCCUUUUAUUUUGAGGAGUUAGUUUUGGGUAAAUAAUAUUGUAAUAUUGCAACAAAGGAGACAUAAUAUUCCCCUUUUUAAAUCAAAGCAUCAACUAUUUAAAAUGCAUAAUUAUAUGCUAGUUUAAGGAACAUUUUUCAAGUUUUCAAAAUUGUGAAGAACCAUAAGUUUAUUUUUAUUUUUUUUAAGAACCAUAAGGCUAAAAAACUUUUCUAAUCUUUAAAAAAGGAUUGUCUAAUCUGAAAAUAUUCCUUUAAAUAUUAAAGUCCUCUAAGGCUUCUGUUUGAAAAAUCAUGGAUAGGACAAUUAACUCAAGGCUAAGGAACCCCUAUGAAUUAAAGAUAAAAAAACCUGACAACAAAUAUAAGAAAAUGUGAAAUGGUUAUUGAUUUAUAAAAAGUUAAUCUAGGCAGACCAUUUCAGGGUAGUGUUUACAUUUAUAAAAGUAAAUGACACCAUAGAUAUAUGUUCAUAUAUAAAUUAAUAAAUAUAUAUACAUACACAUAUUCCCAAGUUCAAGAAAUACAAUGUCAUUUGGAUCACUUCAGACCUUGUGCAAUAAAAGGCUCCAGUCAGAAAAAAAGAAUGAUUUUUUUAAUGUUUGUUUUUUUUUUUAAGUAAAAACUUGAAAAAGGAACAGCCUUAUGUUGCUUGUGGGCUUGUGAUUUUAACUCCAUUAACGACCUCAUUUCAUUCAGCUCUCAACAUUACAAUAUCAUUGUGCUAAUAGAAGAGCUCUAUUUAUUUCACUUCAUUUAUCUGAAUUGUGCUGACUAAGGUAAUUGUGACAUGCAAAAUAUGUCAGUGCAUUAAAACAAUGGUGUAAAAAGAUGAUAUUUUUUAAAAACUCAUGAUGCCAAACAGUACUUUAACUUCUGUCCUUUGGCAAAUUGUUUAAAAUCACAAUCUCUUUAAUUCUUGAAUAAAGCAACAAUCUAAAAAUAAUUUCCAUUAAUGGUAUACAUUAUUAUUAAUUGUUUAAUCAAGAUUUUAACAAAAUCACUAUACUAAUAGUAUGGUUUAUUAACAAAGACCACUGUAGCACACACUUCUUGUUAGGUUACAACUCAGUGGAGCACUAAAUUACUUACUUCUUGUAGUGAGAAGUUAUUCAUUCAUGCUUUUUUUUUUUUUUUUUCAGUUAAAAAAAUCACAGUUGCCUGCUAUGUUUGCCAGUCCUCAAAAUAGGCUUGAGGGGUACAAAGAAACAAAUAUUACUAUGGUGAAAACUUGUUUGGGCUUGUUUCAGAAACAUCUAGUAAUAGCCGUACAAGUGGAAAAAAUAUUUAAGUAGUGUGUUUUAAGCCAGUUAAGUCUUACUUUGAACUUAGUGCUGUUCAGUCACUGUGCUUAAUAAGCAUUUAAACAUUGUCAUCACAUGCUAUAAUUUCAAAUAAAAUGCAUAUGGGAGAUUUGGAAGGUGGCCAUGAGGGGCAGUAUCCCAUUAUCACAAGAAAAACUACUUACAGAUUUUAACUUCAUUGCUAUUACUAAAACCAACAAUUCUAAAGAGAUGGUUUUACCACCACUGAAGAGUGUGUUGAACUAUGCAUCUGUGAAAUUUACAGUAUUUAAAGAGCACUUCUGCUUCCUCAAAUUUGCACUUCUGCAAAUUCAAUCAGGUAACACUUAUUGUUCAAACUCUGUCUAAAAGUACCAGAUGACAGGGACGCCUGGGUGGCUCAGCAGUUGAGCCCUUGCCUUUAGCUCAGGGUGUGAUCCCAGAGUCCCAGGAUUGAGUCCUGUAUUGGGCUCCCUGCAUGGAUCCUACUUCUCCCUCUGCCUAUGUCUCUGUGCCUGCCACCCACCCACCACCCCCAUGUCUCUCAUGAAUAAAUCUUUAAAAAUAAAAUAAAAGUACCAGACAUCAGGUCUUAAUCUAAGGAAGUAUAUCACCUCUUUGAGAUGACAACCAGCCUAUAUGCAUAUUUUAAAAUCUGAAUGAAAUAAAAUGCAUUUUAUAAGUGAUUCACAUAUAUACAGUAUAUUUCUGCUGAUCAAAGAGGGUAGAUCUAACCAAAGAAGGCUGCAAAGAGAAGGUGGUUUGCCCUAAAUAUUAAUGAUGAUUAUACAUGUAUGUCUGUAUGUAUACAGACAUACAGACAUGUAUCAGUGAUGAUACAUACAUCGCUGAUAGAUGAUAGAUUUUAAAAGAUGUUUGUUAAGACAAUAUAUUUCUGACCUUGUGUAGGCUAAGUAGUAGGUUUUGUGAAUGAAUUAAGUUUUCAAAUGCAAAAUAUCUUAUAUUAAAUAAAUCAAUGGUAAAGCUAUUUGUCAACGGGGAAAAGACAAGAUAAGGAAAAAAAACUUAAGUUGAUUGUAGAUUGUUUGAUGUAGAAGUCGUCUUUAUUUUAAAAAGUGCUUAUUAAUAUGCUUCCUCUAUAACCAUGUUCAAUGCCUUUCCCUAAGUUUAUUAGAAAAAAAGGUUAUUAUAAAAAAAUCGAGUCUUCUUCUAAAACAUGGAAGUUACUCAUAAAAAGCCAUAACAUAUUCAUUCUUAUAGGAUAGAAAGAUUUUCAUUAAAACAUACCCUAAUUUCUUAAGAAUACAUAUAAUAAAUUUGAUGUAAGAUGCCAAUGUGAACAUAGGUCUCUAACAUUACACCUUCCCUAAUAUUGACUGAAAUAACCAAAGGAAUUUGAAAUAGGGAAUACUCUGAAUCACCCUGUUAACUAAAAAUUUAUUAUUAACAUAUUUCAAGGAAUUUUAUGUGAUGUGUAGGGUGUUUGGGACCACAUUGAAAGAUAACAGUAAGAGUCAUGGCAAAUAUCCUUGUCUGACAAAAUGGGUUUAAAUUUGUAAGACAAUUUUUCACUCACUGUUAGAAUUAAAUACUGCUUUAUGGUUUUAUUUUGUGAUCAUGAGCCUAAUCUAAGAGUUAAAAACCUUUAUCUCAUAAAAGUGAGAUAGCAUCUUUUUUAAAAAAUUUAUUACCAGUACCUAAUUCAGUACUGAAUUAACACAGGAGUGAAUGAAAAAACUGAAAGAAUGAGUGAAUAAACCCCACUGACAAUUCCUGAAUUAAAGAAGUAAUAGUUGGAUUUAAGAGUGAGCUGAGGAAAAUCUGCUGCCAUGUAUGUGAACUACACAAUGAAGAAGCUUUCCUAUGAUACUCAAAUAUAACUAAGCCAAAUACCAGGCCAGAGGACAAUUGGAUAUUACUAUGUUAAUAUUCUCUUCUUUGAUGUAAUAGACUUUAACACCAAGAUGCAGAACAAGUACAACCACAAUGAGUAUCUUGACCAUAAACGAGCCAAACCAAAAUAGAGAUGCAUAAAAAAUGUCUUGAAUAAAGAUGGCUUUGCCAGCUAGAGGUAGCAGAAGAAGAAAAAACCCUGACACUCAUUCAUACACACCUGCACUCACAAAUGUUAAAAACUGCCAUUUUAAAUCAAUGAUACAAUGAUAGAGAACAUAAUUAGUGUUUUGAAUAUUAUUUGAUAAUAUAGAAAAAUAAAUUAGAUCCUACUUCAUACCACACAAAAUACAUUUCAAGUGACAUUUUGGUAUGGAAUGAACCUGCAAAGAAAUUUUUUUAAAAGUUUGGGUGAAUGUCUUAUCUCAGAAUGGGUCAUGAUCUUAGCAAAAAUGCAAAGGAAUGCAUAUUUGUAAUUGACAGGGUUCAUCUCAGAUAUUCCAUUUUUCAUCACUAGAAGUUGUAUUUCUGUGUUUUUUAUACCUAUCAGAUUUCUACUUAACAUGCUUAAAUUUUAAUUUUCUUGAACAUAGGGAAUUAAAUUAUAAUAAACAUUUUAAUGUCAUUGUCUACUAAUUCUAUCAUCUGUAUCAUUACUAGAUCACUCUCAGACAAUUGAUGUUUCUGUACUCAUUUUGGGUUAUGUUUUCCUGCUUCUUUGCAUAAAUGCUAAUUUUUUUUGGAUGACAGACAUUGUGAUUUUAUCUUGUUAGGUUUUGCAUAGUUUUAAAUUUUGACAAAUAUUUUUUGAUCAUUGUUUUGGGAUAUGGCUACAUUCCUUUGGAAUAGUUUUAUCUUUUGGGAAUCUCCUUUCAGCCUGUAUCAGAGAGGCAGUGCUUAGUAUAAAAAUAAUUUGGCGAACUCGUGACACAGAAGCUGAUCGCCACAUGCACUGAAAGAUAAGGUUUUCUUUCUGGCUGGUGACAAUGGGACUAUUCCCAGUUCUUUACGAACUCUAGGGAUUUUUUUUUUUUUUUGCCCUGAGCACUAUGAGUGGUUCUCUUCCCAACCUUAGUAGUUCCUCUAAACAUAUGCACUGAUAAAUACUCAGAUGGAUUCUCCAGAGUCCUCCGAUUGUAAAAUUAUCCAGAAUUUUCUUCAAGCAGGAAUCAGAAAAUUAUUGUAGGGCUCACCUCAUUUAUUUUUUAUCUUUCAAUGAUAACCAUCUUACUUGGCUCAUUUUGAAUAUCUUGAAAACCACUGAUUUAUAUGCUUUGUCUAUUUAUUCAUUAUGUCAGUCAGGAGGGCAUUUCAUUUCCUGCUAUUCCAGGUUGGCCACAAGCAGGAAGUCUAAUAGCUGACAUUUUAGUUUGUUUAUUGAGUAUAAUAACCUGCAGUAAUCUGCACAAAUCUAGAAGGUAGAUGUACUAGUUUGUUAGGGAUACUAUAACAAACACCACAGACUGAGUGGCUUAAACAAUAGAAAUUUAUUUUCUCACAAUUCUGGAGGCUAAAAGUCUGAGAUCAAGGUGUUAACAGGUUGGUUUCUUCUUAGGUCUCUCUCAUUGGCUUGAGAUGGCUGUCUUCUGUUUAUAUCAUCACAUGGUCCUUCCACUAUGUGUGUCUGUAUCCUAAUCUCCUUCUCUUACAAGGACACCAGUUAUAAUGGAUUAAAGUCCACCUAUAUAACCUUGUUUUAACUUCAUUGCCUCUUUAAGGGUUUUGUCUCUAAAUAUAGUCAUAUUCUGAGGUAAUGGGGGUUAGGUCCUCAGCAUAUGAGUUUUGAGGGAACAGAAUUCAGUCCAUGACAGUAGAGCUUAAGUUUUAACUAAUAUAAACCCAUGUAAUCAGUGCCCUAAAUGGGAAAUAGACAUUACCAAAAUCUCUGAGAGUUCCACAGUACGCCUUCCCAUUCUUUCUGCCUUGCCCCUUCACAGAGGCAACCAACCACUCUUUUGAUGUCUAAUCCCAUAGAUUAUUUAUACCUGUUGUAGAACAUCACAGAAAUAGAAUCACACAGUAUAUGUUAUUUUGUGUCUUGCUUCUUUCAAUGGGAAUGUUUUUGAGAUUCUUCUAUGUUUUCAUGUGAAUCUGUAGUUCAUUUUCUUUAACACUAUUUUAUGAAUAUAUCAUCAUUUUUUCUAUUAUUUUUUUUUGGUGUAAACUUAAGUUGCUUCCAAUGGUUUGUUAUUACAAAGAGUGUUAUAAUGAACAUUUUUGUACAAGUCUUUUGUGGAUGUAUGUUUUUAAUUAUUUGGGAUAAGUCUAUAGGAGAAAAG